CAUUUACGCGAUAUUAAGCUUUCCAGCGUAUUACUCUGAUUGUCCAUCUUUGGACGCCGAGUGGCUCCUGUCCACUCUGCUUUGACGCCUCCCUGUUAUCAACUUCAAAGCCGCCGGCAACGGCGGCUCUUUUUUU
rnacentral:sRNA from 1 species